AUUGAACGCUGGCGGCAUGCCUUACACAUGCAAGUCGAAUGGCAGCACGGGAGCAAUCCUGGUGGCGAGUGGCGAACGGGUGAGUAAAGUAUCGGAACGUGCCCAGUCGUGGGGGAUAACGUAGCGAAAGUUACGCUAAUACCGCAUACGAUCUAUGGAUGAAAGCGGGGGAUCGCAAGACCUCGCGCGAUUGGAGCGGCCGAUAUCAGAUUAGGUAGUUGGUGGGGUAAAGGCUCACCAAGCCGACGGUCUGUAGCUGGUCUGAGAGGACGAACAGCCAAACUGGGACUGAGACACGGCCCGGACUCCUACGGGAGGCAGCAGGGGGGAAUUUUGGACAAGGGGCGAAAGCCUGAUCCAGCCAUGCCGCGUGCAGGAUGAAGGCCUUCGGGUUGUAAACUGCUUUUGUACGGAACGAAAAGGUUUGGGCUAAUAAGCUGAGCUCAUGACGGUACCGUAAGAAUAAGCACCGGCUAACUACGUGCCAGCAGCCGCCGUAA
rnacentral:rRNA from 1 species